AUUUUAACUUAUGUUUUAAUGUUAGGGCUUUUAUUUUUGCCGAUCAUUGACAAAAAUUGACUUAUGUAUCGUUUUUAAUAUUCCUUCAAGCUAUAAAACUCCAAGUUAAAUCUUCUCUUUAUGCAACGUUGCCUUGUUAUUUCCUUUACAUGCUACUCUUUCUUUAUCACCUGAAGAAUAAAGUGCAUGCUAUCACCCCGCUUCAGAUAUUCUGCAACUUGAAGAAAGCUCAACUACUAGCUGAACUAUAGCCCUGAUGCAGAUGUUCUAGAAAACUCAUGAUAGUAUUGUACUGUUCGCUUAAAGAAUUGUAUAAUAGAAUGAUCUCCAAUAUUUAGUUUACAAGGAUGUCCAGAAAUCAUUUUCC